UCAGUUGGGUAUCCCACACUGAAUACAUAGGUGUGUGGAGGCGAACCCGGGGAACUGAAACAUCUAAGUACCCGGAGGAAAAGAAAUCAACCGAGAUUCCGAAAGUAGCGGCGAGCGAAAUCGGAUCAGCCCUUAAGCUUCGGUGUAGAUAGUGGAACGCUCUGGGAAGUGCGGCCAUAGCGGGUGAUAGCCCCGUACACGAAAUCUUAUCUGAAGUGAAAUCGAGUAGGGCGGGACACGUGAAAUCCUGUCUGAAUAUGGGGGGACCAUCCUCCAAGGCUAAAUACUCAUCAUCGACCGAUAGUGAACCAGUACCGUGAGGGAAAGGUGAA
rnacentral:rRNA from 1 species